rnacentral:lncRNA from 1 species
CAGCUUCAAGGCUUCUCUGCUUCUUCUUCUCUUUCUUAGCGCCUGUCGGUGCGAGAACGCUGAGGUUGUUAUAAGCAGGAGAUAUGGAAAAGGCGAGUAGUACCUCCAAGUCUAGUAGUAAUCUGGCCGCCACGGCCAUGGCAAUAGCAGGAAGAGCUCUCCGUCCCUGUGAUGUCUGCGGUCGUGAGCGAGCGAAAUGGUUUUGCAAGGCGGACGAGGCGUACCUGUGCGAGAACUGUGAUGGUUCCGUUCAUGGAGCCAACGCCGUCUCUCUUCGCCACGAGCGCUUCCGUAUGG